AUUUGUUUCUUUGAAUAUGAUUUUUCUGAUGGCAAUUUUGUGCAUUGGUUUUGCACCUUGCUUAUAAUACAGGUCUCUUCUUUUGUCUAUUACUGCUAUGUUGGAAUCUUUCCUAGUUCCUGUUAUACUUAAACACUGCCUUCCUUUAUUCAUCAAUUUUAAUCUUGAUUAGUAGCAUACUGCAUAAUGUUUCAAGUGCUGCUCUUCAUAUCCUUGAUGCGUAUAUUAUGCUCGGAUGUUUUAACUAUUGGGUAUGUAGAUCAUGUUAUAUUCUAUGUCUUGUCAUGCAGGUAUGAUUUCCCUUGGACUCCCA
rnacentral:misc_RNA from 1 species